rnacentral:sRNA from 1 species
GGUACGUGGGCCUCCGGGCUGUCCCCUCCGGGGGCGGCGAUCCUCCCUCCGGAGCCCCCCGCAACCCUCCCGGAAGUGGGCAUUUGCAGGACCAGGGAUGCUGCACUGCUCUCCCAUGAGCCAGUCACCAAGUCUGUCUGCUGCAAGCCCUUUCUGAACCUCUGGCUGUCUGGAUGCUCCACUGUGCUCCUUGCCAAGAUGAAGUGCGUCUUGGUGGCCACUGAGGGUGCAGAGGUCCUCUUCUACUGGACAGAUGAGGAGUUUGAAGAGAGUCUUCGGCUGAAGUUCAGGCAGUCAGAGAAUGAGGAAGAGCUCCCUGCCCUGGAGGACCAGCUCAGCACGCUCCUAGCCCCGGUCAUCAUCUCCUCCAUGACGAUGCUGGAGAAGCUGUCGGACACCUACACCUGCUUCUCCACGGAAAACGGCAACUUCCUGUAUGUCCUUCACCUGUUUGGAGAAUGCCUGUUCAUUGCCAUCAAUGGCGACCACACUGAGAGCGAGGGGGACCUGCGGCGGAAGCUGUAUGUGCUCAAGUACCUGUUCGAAGUGCACGUCGGGCUGGUGACUGUGGACGGUCAGCUUAUCCGAAAGGAGCUGCGGCCCCCAGACCUGGGGCAGCGUGUCCAGCUGUGGGAGCACUUCCAGAGCCUGCUGUGGACCUACAGCCGCCUGCGGGAGCAGGAGCAGUGCUUCGCCGUGGAGGUGACUACUGGGCGUGGGAGUCCUCAGGACUUGAAGCUGUCAGGCCCUGGAGCGACUGAUUCACCCCCAGCUCUGUGAGCUGUGCAUAGAGGCACUGGAGCGGCACGUCAUCCAAGCUGUCAACACCAGCCCCGAGCGGGGCGGCGAGGAGGCCCUGCAUGCCUUCCUGCUUGUGCACUCCAAGCUGCUGGCAUUCUACUCUAGCCACAGUGCCAGCUCCCUGCGCCCGGCCGACCUGCUCGCCCUCAUCCUCCUGGUUCAGGACCUCUACCCUAGCGAGAGCACAGCAGAGGACGACAUUCAGGAGACAGACAGCUUCUCCCUCCCUGAGGAGUACUUCACACCAGCUCCUUCCCCUGGCGAUCAGAGCUCAGGUAGCAUCAUCUGGCUGGAGGGGGGCACCCCACCCAUGGAUGCCCUUCAGAUAGCAGAGGACACCCUCCAAACGCUGGCUCCCCACUGCCCUGAGCCUUCCGGCCCCAGAAGGAUCUUCCUGGAUGCCAACGUGAAGGAAAACUACUGCCCCCUAGUGCCCCACACCAUGUACUGCCUGCCCCUGUGGCAGGGCAUCAACUUGGUGCUUCUGACCAGGAGCCCCAGCGCGCCCCUGGCCCUGGUCCUGUCCCAGCUGAUGGAUGGCUUCUCCAUGCUGGAGAUGAAGCUGAAGGAAGGGCCGGAGGCCGGGGCCUCCCUGCGCUCCCAGCCCUUUGUGGGAGACCUGCGCCAGAGGAUGGACAAGUUUGUCAAGAAUCGAGGGGCACAAGAGAUUCAGAGCACCUGGCUGGAGUUUAAGGCCAAGGCUUUCUCCAAAAGUGAGCCCGGAUCCUCCUGGGAGCUGCUCCAGGCAUGUGGGAAGCUGAAGCGGCAGCUCUGCGCCAUCUACCGGCUGAACUUUCUGACCACAGCCCCCAGCAGGGGAGGCCCACACCUGCCCCAGCACCUGCAGGACCAAGUGCAGAGGCUCAUGAGGGAGAAGCUGACGGACUGGAAGGACUUCGUGCUGGUGAAGAGCAGGAGGAACACCACCAUGGUGUCCUACCUAGAAGACUUCCCAGGCUUGGUGCACUUCAUCUAUGUGGACCGCACCACUGGGCAGAUGGUGGCGCCUUCCCUCAACUGCAGUGAAAAGACCUCGUCGGAGUUGGGCAAGGGGCCGCUGGCUGCCUUUGUCAAAACCAAGGUCUGGUCUCUGAUCCAGCUGGCGCGCAGAUACCUGCAGAAAGGCUACACCACGCUGCUGUUCCAGGAGGGGGAUUUCUACUGCUCCUACUUCCUGUGGUUCGAGAAUGACAUGGGGUACAAACUCCAGAUGAUCGAGGUGCCCAUCCUCUCCGACGACUCAGUGCCUAUUGGCAUGCUGGGAGGAGACUACUACAGGAAGCUUCUGCGCUACUACAGCAAGAACCGCCCAACCGAGGCUGUCAGAUGCUACGAGCUGCUGGCCCUGCACCUGUCUGUCAUCCCCACUGACCUGCUGGUGCAGCAGGCCGGCCAGCUGGCCCGGCGCCUCUGGGAGGCCUCCCGUAUCCCCCUGCUCUAGGCCAAGGUGGCUGCAGUCUGCCUUUGCAUCCUGUCUUCCAGCUGCCCUUGCUUGCCACUGUUACCCAUGACGAGAGCCUCCUGUCUGCAGUGGCUAUCCUGAGGAUGAGGCAGAGUGCCCAGGGUGGCCCCAGGGUUUCUAAAACCCCACCUAGACCACCCUCCAUGUCGGGUACUGAGCAAGGCCCCAGAUCCUUCUCUCUGGAGGAAGAGGGAAGCCCAGGGGUCCUGUUUGUAAAACAACAGUGGCAGCAGCUCCUCUUCCAGAGCUGCCUCUGCCUUUAUCCUGGGAGAUGGGGAGGAAGCCCCAUCUCUGCUGUUCCCUCUGUGGAGGAAGCCCACGCAGCAAGCUCUCUCCUACACCAGGUAAAAGGUGCUCCUUUGCCUGGGUUUGAAUUCCAGCGCUGCCACUUCCUCUCUGCACCUCCUAGCAAGUUUCUUCUAUUCCCCACAUUUAAAGCGAUGGCACCUCCCUCCCAGGGUGGUGUGAGGAUUACCCAAUGUGGUAGGUGCUCAAUAAAUGUUGGUCAGUGUUAUCACUGAAGCCCAA